ACCCAGUCGGCUGGAGGCGCUGGAGCCGGGGGCCAAUCACCUGGAGGCGCUGGAGCCGGGGGCCAGUACUCAAGAGGCGCUGGAGGCGCUAAAGCAGGAACUGGACCUGAUGAGCUUUGAUCGGGCUGGCUCCAACGUGCUCCGAGGCGGAGACCCCUACCUGCCCCCGCCGGCCGACAUGCCCCCCCCUGUGCUGCCUGGCAACGCCUUGUUCCUGGGGGCCAACGACCUCCCCCCACUCCACGUCGACUCCAAGGACUUCCAGUGACAGCGUCUGCCCCUCGCUGGGGGGGCUCAGAGGCCAGGGCCUGUUCCCCAGCCCCCCCGUGUAUGGGGGGGUGGCCCUGGCUCUGCCCUCCCCUGCCUUCCGGGUAGGCCCCGGGGCAUCCGUGGUCCCUGGGGCGGGGGGUUCUCAGGCCUUCCUGUCCUUAGUGGUGGGGUGCAGGUGGCUCCCCCGGGGGUGAGACGAACUCUCUCUCUCUCUCUCUCUCUCUCUUGUAAAUAAACCUCCCCCCCCCAGCUCGCUGUGGUGCUGUUUGGGGGGGGGGUUCCAUGGCGUCUCGGGAGGAUCCCCUGAACUGUCCAUCCCCCUUGUGUGGGGGCCGUGUGCGGGCUGCACCCUCCUGCUCCCCGGGGCUGUUGUGCUCUGGCUGGCCACCAGAGGGCACCGUGCCCUCUCCUACCGUCCCCGCCCCCCCUCCCCCACGGGUUGCAGGGGUGGGGGGUCCCCCCACCUGGAGGGGAGCCCCUGGCCCUUCGCCAAAGCGGAACUCGGCUCCCCUCAGGCCAGGAGCAGGGCCCUGGCUGGCGGCCGGGGCCUGAGCGCUGGGCUGGUUCUGGGGCAGGGGGGGCCUGGAGUUGGAUGUGGGGAGAAGCAGGGAGGGCUGAGCCCGGGGGGAGGGGUGUGUGUGUGUGUGUGUUACCAGCCCCCCUCCCCCCCCAGGGGGUGCGCUAGGGGCUGGGGCUGGCUUGAGGUUUCCCAGGGCGUCAAAGCUGGGACCAGACCCCAGGCGUCCUGCCCCUCGGUCCAUCCGUGUCCCCCCUGCCCCUCAACCACGCUGCCUCCUCCCGAAGAGGGGGCCCAGCAGAGCAGGGAGGGCGAUGCCCCUGGUGAUGGGCAGAAGCCCCUGCCCCUGCCCCUGCCCUUGGAGAGGCCCUGGCUCAUUCCCGGGGAGCUCGGGGGGCUGAGCUGGGGCAGGAGGGCUGGGUGUUCGUCUCUGAGAUGGUACUGGCCUGAGCUGGGUGCUGUGGCCCUUGCAACCCCCUGCUUCUCUCCCCCCCCCACCCCCGGUGCCAGCCAUGUGGCUGGGAAUUUUUUAUAAUAUUUUGUAUGAUGACCGUGUGUGCCUCAGUUUCUCCAUGUGCUGCAUAGCUAACUAGGUGCCGGGGGAAAGGGUUACUCGCAGCCACCCAGGCGUGGCUGAUACUCGGCUGGCUGGGGCCCAGAAGACAACGGCCCUGGUCAGGGCCCCUCUGCAGGAAGCCGGCCAGGUGGGAGCAGCUGGAGAACAAGGAGCCGAGGAGGAGGAGGGCGGCCAGGGACCCAGCUUUGCCCGGGACCAGAGGAAAGGACGGCGGAGGGCCAAGGACCAGUGUUAAGUGGGGGCUGCUGGAAGCCACAGACUCUGCGGGGCUGGGGCUGAGCGUGUUGGGCUCCGGACUGACCCCCGAGGACUUUCCCUUCUCUGUGCUGCCGCGAGGUGUGUAAUAAACCCCCCGAACAGCA